rnacentral:lncRNA from 1 species
GUCAAGCUGAAAUCCUAAGGGAAAAGGAAGCUGAAGCUAAGGCUCUGGCAGAUGCUGCUGCUGCUGCAGAAGCUGAAGCACAGGCCGCUGCUGAAGCACAGCAGGCUCUGACUCUGGGGGAGUCCUCUUCUGUCAUCCCUAUGGUUCUCCAAACGCUGAAAGAACUUAAGCAAGAUCAGAAUGAACUCCGGGCCAGAAUGGACAAGCAAGAUAC